GACGAACGCUGGCGGCGUGCUUAACACAUGCAAGUCGGACGGAAAGGCCCUGCUUUUGUGGGGUGCUCGAGUGGCGAACGGGUGAGUAACACGUGAGUAACCUGCCCUUGACUUUGGGGUAAAUUCAGGAAAAUGGGGCUAAUACCGGAUAGGAGCUCCUGCUGCAUGGUGGGGGUUGGAAAGUUUCGGCGGUUGGGGCUGGAUUAGCGGCUUAUCAGCUUGUUGGUGGGGUAUGGGAUUACAACGGCUUUGACGGGUAGCCUGCCUUGGAGGGUGACCGGCCACAUUGGGACUGAGGUACGGCCCAGACUCCAACGGGAGGCAGCAGUGGGGAAUAUUGCACAAUGGGCGGAAGCCUGAUGCAGCAACGCCGCGUGCGGGAUGACGGCCUUCGGGUUGUAAACCGCUUUCGCCUGUGACGAAGCGUGAGUGACGGUAAUGGGUAAAGAAGCACCGGCUAACUACGUG
rnacentral:rRNA from 1 species